rnacentral:rRNA from 1 species
UUGAAAGGGAAACGAUUGAAGUCAGUCGUACCGACGAGAAAUCAGCUUAUCGUGUGUUAACUUGUGGGCGUGCGUGAGUUUCGGCCUCGCUGUUUGCAUGUUUGUGCACUUUGGGUGUACUUUUUCGUAUGGUUGGCCAACAUCAGUUUCGAUCACUAUAAAAUGACUGGCGGAAUGUAGCUUCGAUUUCGGUUGAAGUGUUAUAGCCUCUGGUAGAUGUGGUGUUUGGGACUGAGGAUUGCAACGAAUAUCCUUUGGGCUAUCCGUCUGAUCUCUGAAAGUUGCUUAGGUGCCGAAAGCGUGCUUACGGUUAUUUAAGUUGACGGUCAAUAGGUUAGAACGUGAUUACAUUCGUUAAGGAUGUUGACGUA